rnacentral:lncRNA from 1 species
UCAGACAUAUUAUUUCAUCUAGCAUUCAUAUUUGAAACCAACCAAAAUCAAAAUAUUAAUCAGCCGACGUUGGCUAAAUUAACUUAUACAUGCCAUUAUAACUAGAAUUUAAUCAUCCAAAAUUACCGAUAAAACCAAUGGAUAGUAUGAUAUAUCUUCGACAAGUUUCCAACCCAAUCGAGCUUCCGAUAAUCUGUAGGGUAAAUAAAAAAAACAAAUGCGUAAGCAAUGAAUGCUUAGUGAGCUCGUGUAGUCUUUAAUCAUAUUAGUUCCUUUAAAAUAUAAAAUCUAUACACAUCAUGGAUAACCCAAUGUUGAUCCCACAAUACCCAUGUGUAACACCCCUUACCCGUAUUCGUCGCCGGAAUAGGAUACGAGGUAUUACCAGAUUUUACUGAUUUUUUUAAACUCAAUAUAACCCCUUUAUAAAUAUCUAAUCCUCCCUGCAAAUUUUAAACCGAGACCAAGCCAACACAACCAAUCCAUUUCAACAUAUUUUCAAGAUAGAUUUAUUGUAUUCAUAAGAUAAUCUCAUCACAUGCCAAAACCAAAAUUUGUUAGCCAUACCAAUGGCUAACCAUACAUUCAUUCCACAUUAACAUCUACUUUACUAGCUUAUACAUGCCAUUGAUUUCCAAAAUAAGUUUCUUUAUGUACCGAGAUCUUGAGGUUGAUAGUGUGAUGUGUCUCUGACCAAAUCCGACCUCCGAG